GCUUACGACCACACGGCCUGAGUACGCCUGAUCUCGCUGAUCUCGGAAGCUAAGCAGGGUCGGGGCCUGGUUAGUACUUGGAUGGGAGACCGCCUGGGAAUACCAGGUGCUGUAAGCU
rnacentral:rRNA from 1 species